CCGUGGUAAUUCUAGAGCUAAUACAUGCGAAGAGUCCCGACUUCUGGAAGGGAUGUAUUUAUUAGAUUCAAAACCAAUGCGGGUUCUGCCCGGUGCUUUGGUGAUUCAUAGUAACUGAUCGAAUCGCAUGGCCUUGCGCUGGCGAUGUUUCAUUCAAAUUUCUGCCCUAUCAACUGUCGAUGGUAAGGUGUUGGCUUACCAUGGUUACAACGGGUGACGGAGAAUUAGGGUUCGAUUCCGGAGAGGGAGCCUGAGAAACGGCUACCACAUCCAAGGAAGGCAGCAGGCGCGCAAAUUACCCAAUCCUGACUCAGGGAGGUAGUGACAAGAACUAACAAUACAGGG
rnacentral:rRNA from 1 species